UACGUAGGGGGCUAGCGUUGUCCGGAUUUAUUGGGCGUAAAGAGCGUGUAGGCGGUUAUCCAAGUCAGGUGUGAAAGCCUUGAGCUCAACUCAAGAAAUGCACUUGGUACUGGGUGACUAGAGGACCGGAGAGGAUAGUGGAAUUCCCAGUGUAGUGGUGAAAUACGUAGAGAUUGGGAAGAACACCAGUGGCGAAGGCGGCUAUCUGGACGGUUUCUGACGCUAAGACGCGAAAGCGUGGGGAGCAAACAGG
rnacentral:rRNA from 1 species